CCGCCCUUAGAUGCGACCUGCCGGGACCCCACCGAGGCCCCAGGACUGAGCGCUGCGGAGCCUUUCUCGCUGCCCGGAAGAAAGAAGGUGCGGCCGGACGGGAAGCCUGGAGAGAGAAGUCAAAUAAACAUCGACAAUCCUAGUAAGAAUUAUUUCUUCAUUUGGUAACUGUCUCUGCAAUAUAGAACAGAUGAAAAUUGUACUUUUUCGUCAGUAGGAGAAAGUUGCGAGCUUAGUG